ACACGACUACAUUAGAUACCCCUGUAGUCCCAGCCCUAAACGAUGCGCGUUAGGUGUAUCGGUGACCACGAGUCACCGAGGUGCCGAAGGGAAACCGUGAAACGUGCCGCCUGGGAAGUACGGUCGCAAGGCUGAAACUUAAAGGAAUUGGCGGGGAGCACCACAACGGGUGGAGCCUGCGGUUCAAUUGGACUCAACGCCGGGAAGCUCACCGGAUAAGACAGCGGAAUGAUUGCCGGGCUGAAGACCCUGCAUGACCAGCUG
rnacentral:rRNA from 1 species